UUGUUCUUUAUGAUAUAAAUGAGACAUGUAUUACCAUGCAAAAAGAAACUUUGCAUGCCUAGUUCACAGGAUAUUUCAUUUUGAAAAAGGAAAUUUUACAAGGAAAAAAAACUGACAACCUCCCAUUGCAAAAGUACACCUUAACCAGUAAUUUCGGCAAUCCCCGCGUAAACAUGAAGGAGAUCCACUCCACGCGAUCGAUCGGAAACACAACGACACAUUACACGCAUGCAUGCCCUCUUUCAAACUCAACACGCAUCACAUUUUCUUAUUAUUGUUCCAACCAAACAAAGGAAGAGGACUACGAACGUAUGUACGUAGAUACAUACGUUCAUCCGCGCACAUACAUAGAUCACAUGAACUAAACCGGAGAUUUAUUUUACUCAGUACCCUGGAAGAAGCUAGCUUCCAGAUUGAUCAUGGGUCCUGCUUGCUAGCCAAGCCAUAGCCAGCUGCCAGCUAGCUAGUUGUGCACCUCAGUGCGGUCCAUGGCCUCCGGGACGUCGUUGGCGGCCCUGCAGCAUCGGAUGCAGUCGCCGUGGUACCCACGGCGGCAGCAGCCCCACCGGCCGCAGGGCCCGUAGCCGCCGCCCCCGCGGCCCGGGUACCCUCCGCCGCGGCCGCCGCCACCCCAGCCGUCCUGGACGCCGGCACCGUUGGUGGCCACCUUCCCCUCCUUGUCAU
rnacentral:lncRNA from 1 species